GACGAACGCUGGCGGCGUGCUUAACACAUGCAAGUCGAACGGAAUGGCGAACGGGUGGGUAACACGUGGGUGACCUGCCCUGCACUUCGGGAUAAGCCUGGGAAACUGGGUCUAAUACCGGAUAGUGUGGGAUGGGCCCGCGGCCUAUCAGCUUGUUGGGGGGGUAAUGGCCUACCAAGGCGGCGACGGGUAGCCGGCCUGGGAGGGGGGACGGCCACAUGGGGACUGAGACACGGACCAGAGUCGUACGGGGGGCAGCAGUGGGGAAUAUUGCACAAUGGGCGGAAGCCUGAUGCAGCGGCGCCGGGUGGGGGAUGACGUCUUUCGGGUGGUAAACUCCUUUCACCAUCGACGCGGUAGAUGGAGAAGAAGCACCGGCUAACUACGUGCCAGCAGCCGCGGUAAUUC
rnacentral:rRNA from 1 species